rnacentral:rRNA from 1 species
CAUAAGCCCACGGGUCGGCAUCGACCAGAGGGAAAAGGAGCAAUCCGCUUUGAGAUGGUCUCGCGUCCGAUUAGCUAGUUGGUGAGGUAAUGGCCCACCAAGGCGACGAUCGGUAGCCGGACUGAGAGGUUGAACGGCCACAUUGGGACUGAGACGCGGCCCAGACUCCUACGGGAGGCAGCAUG